rnacentral:rRNA from 1 species
AUGCAAAGGCCUGAUUGUGUAGAUAAAGUUCUAAUUGAGGAAGGAAGGAAGCUUGAUUUUAGUCAAGUUGAGAAGCAACUCGAGUCUGUUUCUGAACUAAUGAAAAAGCUUAUUCCACCAAAGUCCACCCUGAUCAACGAAUCUAUUGACAAGGGAAAAAGCAUCAGUUUCAAGCAUCUUGUGAAUACAGAUCCUCCAGUUCGAACUAAUUCAAAAGGGACUUCUACACAGACCACGCUGAACAAGGUCAUGAGUGUUAAGAAUAAAUCUUUUUUCCCUGAGAAGCUGAAGUUGAAAUCUCCAAUGAAUGGUGAAUGUUUGGACAACUCAUCUCAAAAAUCAUUUAACGAUCAAAUCAUGGCAUCAAGUCAAGGACAUUUUCAAAUGCGUCAUGAGGGUUCCCAAUAUCAAACUCCUAUUCACAUACAAACAAUCCCUUUUACUCCUGUGUCUAGUCCUGUGACAAAUAGUUCUUUCACUCAGAAGUCUGAUGGCACACCAAGGCAAUGGGCACGUCAAAAUUCUGCAAAUUGCGCUGAUUUUUUAGGUGAAACUUCUCAGCCUGCUGUUCCUGUCACUAAGAUUGAUUUAGAUUUUGGUGGACAGUCUAGCCCUCCGAAGUCUCCUGAUGUUGAGAUCUUAUAUGAAGUCAUGAAAGAUGACAGAUUGAACAACUUCAUAUCUAUUUCUGAUAUGAUUUAUAAUGAGAAAAUCAACACUCAGUCUGCUAGUAAAUCUGGAAGAGAGGUCACUAGAUAUGGACCAAAGAGGAUUCUAAAACCCUAG